AUUGAACGCCGGCGGCAUGCUUUACACAUGCAAGUCGAACGGUAACAGGCCGCAAGGUGCUGACGAGUGGCGAACGGGUGAGUAAUGCAUCGGAACGUGCCCAGUCGUGGGGGAUAACGCAGCGAAAGCUGUGCUAAUACCGCAUACGAUCUGUGGAUGAAAGCGGGGGACCGUAAGGCCUCGCGCGAUUGGAGCGGCCGAUGUCAGAUUAGGUAGUUGGUGGGGUAAAGGCUCACCAAGCCGACGAUCUGUAGCUGGUCUGAGAGGACGACCAGCCACACUGGGACUGAGACACGGCCCAGACUCCUACGGGAGGCAGCAGUGGGGAAUUUUGGACAAUGGGCGCAAGCCUGAUCCAACAAUGCCGCGUGCAGGAAGAAGGCCUUCGGGUUGUAAACUGCUUUUGUACGGAGCGAAAAGGCUCUCUCUAAUACAGGGGGCUCAUGACGGUACCGUAAGAAUAAGCACCGGCUAACUACGUGCCAGCCGCCGCGGUAAGAC
rnacentral:rRNA from 1 species